AUACGUAGGGAGCAGGCGUUGUCCGGAUUUACUGGGUGUAAAGGGUGCGUAGGCGGCUCUGCAAGUCAGGUGUGAAAACCAUCGGCUCAACUGAUGGACUGCAUUUGAAACUGUGGAGCUUGAGUGAAGUAGAGGCAGGCGGGAUUCCCGGGGUAGCGGUGAAAUGCGGAGAGAUCGGGAGGAACACCAGUGGCGAAGGCGGCCUGCUGGGCUUUAACUGACGCUGAGGCACGAAAGCAUGGGUAGCAAACAGGUUUAGAUACCCUGGUAGUCCAUGCCGUAAACGAUGAUUACUAGGUGUGGGGGGUCUGACCCCUUCCGUGCCGGAGUUAACACAAUAAGUAAUCCACCUGGGAAGUACGACCGCAAGGUUGA
rnacentral:rRNA from 1 species